GCGGACCUAGCUCAGCGGUAGAGCGCCGGACCUUGUCCGGAGGUCGUAGGUUCGAUUCCUACUGUCUGCUCCA
rnacentral:tRNA from 1 species